CAAAACCGUAUCUCCCCAGGACGCCUCGGCCAGCUGUGGCCAGCGAUGCGGGCAGAAGGGGAAGAAAGUCCAACAAGGAGCGAGCAGUGGGGAUGGAGAGGGCGAGUCCGCCUGUGAGUACGCAGGAUGUCAAACCAGGCAGGUGGUGGCUCUCUGCUGUGUUUCAGGCUACCUUGGGAAGGGAGGUGGAGGUGUGCGUACCUGGUGCUUGUCACCAAGAGACACGGUGAGCCAGAAGAGGAGCAGGUGUGAGAUCUGGGCGGGCCCAGUGUCACACAAACAGGUUUGAGAUGUCCAUGGGGCUUCCAGGAAAUGCCCAGCAAAAAUCGGCGUGUGACACAAAGCCUGAGCGUGGAGAGAGAGCUGCGGACCCUCGGGGCUCGGGGGGUGGUGACAAACACCAGGGAAUAGGAGAGUCUCUGGAAAAGCUCAGAGCAGAGACAGCCGUGGCUGGAACCAAACACCCCGUGAAUUACCGACCGUGCAGAGCAGAGCAAGACUAUGUUCUCUUCCUCCCCGUGGCUGACACAAGAUCCCGGGCUAAGCAAUCUUUCCCCAGAUCCCCGACAACGGAGGACACCCCGAGGGCUCUGCACUGCCAGCCUGCUCUCCUGCGAUCCACGGAUGUGAAGCCUAGGGGGCACUCAGUGGGCAAAAGAAGCAUUAAGAAAAUUAACCUAAUGUGUCUGGGGCUCCGCAGACACAUCACUCAGCUCCGGAGGCCGCAUCCGGGAAUGGGAAGAAGUUGGGUCUAGAAGCCAAACAUUAAUGGAUUUUAUUCCCUACCCAGCCGCGUGCUGUGUGGACAGGGCAGGCUGGUCGCCUCCCUUGCAGAGCACACGUGUCUGCUACGUGGAAGCGAGCGAGGUGGCCUCCGGGGCGUUGGGGGAAACCCGCGCACUCAAGACGGGGACGCACCUGCCGGGCGCACCGCGGGCAUGUGAUAAACAGUGGCUCCAGGGUCAUGUUUUGCAGACGAGGAUGGCGAGGAGCAAGGAGGGGAGGAACCCGCCAAGGACACGUUGCUGGCCGACAGCAGAGCCAGCUCUGUCUCCCCGCAAAGGGUAGGCCUUUUGCUCAGAGGCAUUUUAACUCAAGCCCUUCGCAGCCUCCCCACCACAGCUCGACACCGGUCUUGCCUCCAGGACUUGCGGGCAGAUGGAGGUCAUGAUCGUGCAUUGCACCUCUGGAUCCUCGGCGUCCCUCACGCAGCUCCUUGCUGCACAGCUGCCCAGAAAUGUUUGCUAGAUGACAGAAGAAUUAAUGAGAGCCUAGAAUGGGGGCCCUGGCUGGCUCCGCCUGUUAAGUGUCCAUUUGACUCUUACUUUCGGCUCAGGUCAUGAUCUCAGGGUUGGGAGAUCAAGCCCCGAGGAGGGGUCCAUGCUGAGCGUGGAGCCUGCUUGGGAUUCUCUGUCUCCCUCUGCCUCUGCCCCUUCCCCUGCUUGCGUG